CGUCUCAGCACCCCGAUAUCCCAUCUCUGGCACGACCUGGAAGCUCCGUGCAAACCGUGGCUGCCCGUGCCCACCAGCGUUUCUUCCUUUCUCUCCUCAGAAGCAGCGCGGCGCGGUUCCCCGCGUUUGGGAGCAGCAUCCAGCCGGCUGCCAGAGAUCCAACAGCGCCUCGCAGCGCACAGAGGGACGCGAUGGGGACGGACCGUCCUUCCUGCCACGCAAAAGGACGGAGCCUGCGCGUCCGUGGAAUGGGGCUGGGCAUGGGGGGAAACGGAAAGCCUCCGCAGAAGCUGAUGCCAGCGGCCUUCCUCUGAAGCGCAGCCAUGC